CAGUUAAUAUUUUAUUUAGAAUAUAAACUUUGGGUG
rnacentral:tRNA from 1 species